AACCAUAGAAACCUGCGGAGUACCUGCGGAGGGAUCAUUACAGAGUUGCAAAACUCCCUAAACCAUUGUGAACGUUACCUAAACCGUUGCUUCGGCGGGCGGCCCGGGUCCUUCCCGGCGCCCAUCGGCCCUCGCGGGCGCCCGCCGGAGGUAAACCAAACUAUUGCAUUGUAUGGCCUCUCUGAGUCUUCUGUACUGAAUAGGUCAAAACUUUCAACAAUGGAUCUCAGAUCGGAAGAG
rnacentral:misc_RNA from 1 species